rnacentral:rRNA from 1 species
CACGUAGGGGACGAGCGUUGUCCGGAUUCAUUGGGCGUAAAGCGCGCGUAGGCGGCUCGGAAAGUCGGGCGUGAAAUGCCGGGGGCUCAACCCCGGGACUGCGUCCGAUACCUUCCGAGCUGGAGGUAGGUAGGGGAGAUCGGAAUUCCUGGUGUAGGCGGUGAAAUGCGCAGAUAUCAGGAGGAACACCGGUGGCGAAGGCGGAUCUCUGGGCCUUACCUGACGCUGGAGGCGCGAAAGCUAGGGGAGCGAACAGG